rnacentral:rRNA from 1 species
UACCAGCUCUCCGAGUGGUGUGGAUGUUUAUUGGGCCUAAAGCAUCCGUAGCUGGCUGGACAAGUCCCCUGUUAAAUCCACCGAUUUAAUCGUUGGUGUGCGGGGGAUACUGUUCGGCUAGGGGACGGGAGAGGCCGACGGUAUUUCCGGGGUAGGGGUGAAAUCCUAUAAUCCCGGGAAGACCACCAGUGGCGAAGGCUGUCGGCUAGAACGCGCCCGACGGUGAGGGAUGAAAGCUGGGGGAGCGAACCGGAUUAGAUACCCGGGUAGUCCCAGCUGUAAACGAUGCAGGCUAGGUGUUUGGGCGGCCACGUGCCGCUCUAGUGCCGCAAGGAAGCUGUUAAGCCCACCGCCUGGGAAGUACGGUCGCAAGGCUGAAACUUAAGGAAUUGGCGGGGGAGCACAGCAACGGGAGGAGCGUGCGGUUU